rnacentral:tRNA from 1 species
UCCAUUGCUCAGUUGGUAAAGCACAAAGCUCUUAACCUUGUGGACGUGGGUUCAAGCCCUUCGAUGGAA